rnacentral:rRNA from 1 species
UACAGAGGUCUCAAGCGUUGUUCGGAUUCAUUGGGCGUAAAGGGUGCGUAGGUGGCGCCGUAAGUCGGGUGUGAAAUUUCGGAGCUUAACUCCGAAACUGCAUUCGAUACUGCGGUGCUUGAGGACUGGAGAGGAGACUGGAAUUCAUGGUGUAGCAGUGAAAUGCGUAGAUAUCAGGAGGAAUACCGAUGGCGAAGGCAGGUCUCUGGGCUAACACUGACGCUCAUGCACGAAAGCGUGGGGAGCAAACAGG